rnacentral:rRNA from 1 species
CCUACGGGUGGCAGCAGUGGGGAAUAUUGGGCAAUGGGCGCAAGCCUGACCCAGCAACGCCGCGUGAAGGAAGAAGGCUUUCGGGUUGUAAACUUCUUUUUUGAGGGACGAAGAAAGUGACGGUACCGCAGGAAUAAGCGUCCGCUAACUACGUGCCAGCAGCCGCGGUAAUACGUAGGUGGCAAGCGUUAGCCGGAUUCAUUGGGUGUAAAGGGCGUGUAGGUGGGAAAGCAAGUCAGAUGGGAAAACUCAGGGCUCAACCCUGAGCCUGCAUUUGAAACUGUUUUUCUUGAGUGCGGGGGAGGCAAUCGGAAUUCGGUGUGUAGCGGUGAAAUGCGUAGAUAUACGGAGGAACACCGAUGGCGAAGGCGGAUUGCUGGACAGUAACUGACGCUGAGGCGCGAAAGCGUGGGGAGCAAACAGGAUUAGAUACCCGGGUAGUC